UACGUAGGUGGCAAGCGUUGUCCGGAUUUACUGGGCGUAAAGAGCGCGCAGGCGGUCGUUCAAGUCGCGUGUGAAGGCCCCCGGCUCAACUGGGGAGGGUCACGCGAUACUGAUCGACUCGAAGGCAGGAGAGGGUAGUGGAAUUCCCGGUGUAGUGGUGAAAUGCGUAGAUAUCGGGAGGAACACCAGUGGCGAAGGCGACUACCUGGCCUGUUUCUUGACGCUGAGGCGCGAAAGCUAGGGGAGCAAACGGG
rnacentral:rRNA from 1 species